AAUCCUGGCUCAGGACGAACGCUGGCGGCGUGCCUUAAUACAUGCAAGUCGAGCGGAUUUAUCCUUCGGGAUAAGUUAGCGGCGGACGGGUGAGUAACACGUAGGUAACCUGCCUAUAAGAUCGGGAUAACUAUCGGAAACGAUAGCUAAGACCGGAUAAUUGGUUUUCUCGCAUGAGAGAAUUAUGAAACACGGAGCAAUCUGUGGCUUAUAGAUGGGCCUGCGGCGCAUUAGCUAGUUGGUAGGGUAACGGCUUACCAAGGCGACGAUGCGUAGCCGACCUGAGAGGGUGAACGGCCACACUGGGACUGAGACACGGCCCAGACUCCUACGGGAGGCAGCAGUAGGGAAUCUUCCGCAAUGGACGCAAGUCUGACGGAGCAACGCCGCGUGAGUGAUGAAGGUUUUCGGAUCGUAAAGCUCUGUUGCCCUAGACGAACAGCAAGAGGAGUAACUGCCUUUUGUGUGACGGUAUAGGAGAAGAAAGCCCCGGCUAACUA
rnacentral:rRNA from 1 species